CUUCUCCAAGAGUGCGCUGCCUGGGCCCGCUUGCCCUGGAGUGUAAGUGCUGGGUAAAUAAGAACCGCCUGGCGCAGGCUGUGUCUACUCUUCACGCCGCCUUCUCAGAUCGGGCUGCAUGUCCCCACUCCGUGUUUACAUCUCGUUCCCGCUCCGGGUCUCGGUGACUGGCUCCUCAAGCCGGAGACGCGUGUGGUGCGGCGCGAUGCGGGCGCCAGCGCUGUGUGUGCUGGCGGUGCGCUGCCUUAGUGCGGGGGAAAGUGGAGGGAACGGUCCUGCGGGGCGUUCUGUCCAAGAAAAAGGACUGCAGCCUCGGGGAGCCAGGGUCCCCUCGCAGACGAGCUGCCAACGCCGCGGAGCCAUUUCUGUUCCACCCUAGGGGAGGAGUAGGGGGAUAUCUUUUAAAAGUUUAAUUGCAAAAUAAGUAGGUUAGUAAGGCCAUUUGUGGUUGCUGUUUCAGUAACUUCAGCAGUCAACGGAGAGAAGAGUGGAAACCUUACUGGAUGCGGACAGGAGAGCCAGUUACUGAAAGCAGAUAUAACGCGGAUCCUGUAAAGAGUGAAUUGUAUAUUUCCACAUAUGCUGGACAAUAGGCAGAAAGUGGAGACCCAAAGAACUUGUGAUAUGACGGACAUAAGAAGCUUCAGUUGGCCUCAAAUGUCAAAUAAUAUCCUUCCUGAAUAAUCAAGAAUGUCAAGCUUUUACUUUCUACAUCUUGGACUGUACUUUGUACCAAUCUCAAGUCCCAUAUGAUGCACUUUCUAGAAGUCACAAGAAGAUCUAAGAAAAGGCCCAAAUGUCAGCCAUCUGUGGACCAGACCUGAAAAUCUUCCUGGAGGAGAUGAAAACCUCUCAUUUCAUAGAACUGAAAAAGGGCCAUUGUAUAGACCAGCAGCUGCGGUGCAGCUCCUCCAGGUCUC
rnacentral:lncRNA from 1 species